GAGGCCAAACCGGAUCCAUUCUGCUGCUAUUCUCUUGCCAGCACACAGGGUAGACAAAAUAAAAUGUCUCAGUACAACUCCAGUAAAAAUUCUUGCUUGGGCCAUGCAAAGGAGGCUCGCACUCGCAAGGGGGAGCGACUGGGAAGAAAGAA
rfam:Rattus norvegicus carnitine octanoyltransferase gene, promoter region.